rnacentral:tRNA from 3 species
GCAAUUUUAGUUUAAUUAAAAUAAUAGUUUGUCUCACUGUUGAUGGUUACUUGACCAAGUUGCU